UAAUGAUGUUGGGUAUAUGAAGAUGGUAAGAUGACAAAAUCUUAUAUUUGUGUAGUGUAAAUUGUACGCUUAGUAUUUCAUGUCUGAAAUAGUGGACAAGGACUUAUUUAUACAUAUUGCACGUAGCAAUUAUGAUUAGUUACGUAUACAAA